rnacentral:ncRNA from 1 species
GGUUUAGACCGUCGUGAGACAGGUUAGUUUUACCCUACUAAUGAGUACAUUGAAACAGUGAAGUACAAUCUGGCCGUUGCUAUGGUAAUCCUGUUUAGUACGAGAGGAACCGCAGGUUCAGACAUUUGGUAUAUGUGCCUGGCCGAAAGGCCAAUGGUGCGAAGCUACCAUCUGAGGGAUUAGGACUGAACGCCUCUAAGUCUGAAUCCCGUCCAGAUAUGCAACGGUACAUUCUGUGCCUGACACGUGGCUAGGCAAGCCUACGUAUUCCUUCUGGUGCUUGGAUCAGGCUAUGUGCCUGGCCAGGUCCAGUAGGUCUGGUGUAAUGCCAGAGCGACAUGACCGAAACUGUACUCCGGACUUCGGGGUAUGGAGGUCGACACGAUAUCCAAAUGUGGUAUGAGCGUGAAGGCAAUAAAUCGUUUGUAGACGACUUAAUAUUUUGUCGGGGAGACGUAAGUGUAAGAGCAGCUAUCACACUGCGAGACACUGAAUCCUAUCCCUUCCUGACGUAAUGAUUUGA